rnacentral:misc_RNA from 1 species
AAUUAAAUUGUCAUGCUCACAAAUAAUAACUUCUGAUAAGUUAUUAAAGCUCGGGUAAGUGAAAUAUUAUUAUUUUUUUUCCUUUUUUUUUUCUUAAUUCAAAAGAUUUUGUUGAUUAAUUGUUUGUCAAUCACUGAAUUUUUCAACAAAUUAGAAUAUCGAUUUAAGAAAGAGAAGUAACAGCUUUCACAUUCUGAGUUACUGGGUCUGAAAGUUCUAAGCAGUGAUAAUUUAUCACUUUUCAUAAUUUUUAUCUCUACAUAUCAUAUAAAUUUCUGAUAUGACAUACAAUAAUAUAUUGUCUAGAAAGGACAACGAUAGCUAUCACAUAAAUUUCUGAUAUAAUGAUAUAAUAAUAUAUAUUUACUCAGAAAGGACAAUUAUCGUUUGUUACAAUAAUCGAAGCGAAUAACAGCACUGCUAUAGAGCAAAAAAGACCUAUAACUUUCUUUUACCAUAUUAUCAAUUCACUAUACAUUAUUUUCUAUCCUGACUUUAUAAAGAAUUUUUUUUUAUUUUUCUCGACAGUUCUGUUAAAACUGUUCUAUAUGUUGCUAUAUGUAUACACUAGAUUUGCUUAUACAUCUUUGUUCAAAAAAUUUGGAAAUAUGGAUAUAUUUCAGAAGACCAGAAAUAAAUGUACCAAUAUAUUUGAUAUUCCUUAUUAUAAACUGCUCGAGAAAUACAUGAAAUUUUUGGGACAAGAUCCACGCCAAAGAGACGGAUUCAGAAAUAUUAUUGUAAUUGCAAUGGUGACUAGUAUUUCUGGCAUUCUUAUUCCAACGUCAUUAGAAUUAUACACGUCAUUAUGUGAUAAAAAUAUGGACGCAGUGAUCGAGUGUCUGCCCCAUUUGAUCGCGGCUGCAACGAGUGUCGUUAAACUUCUGAAUAUUCAUUUCAACAGGGAAAAUUUUAAAAAAUUGUUUGAAUUUAUAACAAAAGAAUGGGAAAAGUUUGAGUUAAAUAAUCAAUUUCAUGUUCUCGAAGAAAUCACCAUAAAAGGUAGUAAAAUGGCACAGUUGUAUCGAAAUACAUUGUUAUCCUUCAUGGUAUUAUUUUUACUCGUACCACUGAUCUUUCCUCUUCUGGAUAUUGUUCAUCCAUUAAACGAAACUCGAUCGAGACAGCAAUUAUUUAGAGUUAAUUAUUUGAUCUUUAACCAUAAUGACUAUUUUUUUUACAUAUAUUUGCAGUUAGCUUGGGGAUCUGUCAUUGUUGUGAUGAUCAUAGUUACUAUAGAUUCAUUGUACAUGAUUAUAAUUCAUCACAGCAGCGGAAUGUUUGCGAUGUGUAUAAAGUUCAAGAAGCGACCAGAUAUCCGAAUCUAUUCAAUGACAGAAUUAUUUCAGAAAAUUACACGUAUGAACAGCUUAAAAAUUGCAUAACCACUCACGAUAAAGCCAUUCAGUUUUAUAAUAUUCUGAACGAGAGCAGUCGAAAUAGUUAUUUAAUUCAGGUUGGAUUAAAUAUGAUGGGUAUAAGCGUGACAGCUGUCCAAACAGUCGUAAAUCUAGAUAGACCGGAAGAAGCGAUUAGAACUGCUGUAUUU